CUUCCGUGUGCAGUUGUGGCUAGCAUGAAGGAAGCUCAAGAGAAGCUGACUGGUGAUGCCUUCAGGACCGCUCACAUCGGGGAUGAACUCUAAGAAGAAGGGAAGAAGCGGCAUGGAAAGAUCUCAGCCAGUACACUGCAUCACCUUGCUGGGCACAUUAGAGCCAUCCAUCACCAACCUCAACUCCUGUCAUUUAAUUUGAUCUACUAUAGCACAAGACAAGCUUCAAAAAUGAAGGAAUUUAUAAUGCAUUUGCGGAUUACAAGAAGAUCAAAGCUGACGUGUCCAUAUUGAUUAUUCAUGUUGAAAACAUUUGACCCUCUUGACUGCAUUCUUAAGGCACUCCACAUUUUUUCUGACUAAGAAACACGCCAGUAAGGCAUUUCUCAUGUGCUUCCAAGCCAUAUCUUGCAAGCUGUGGUAAAACUGAUCCAGUUACACAGUCACUUAUACGAAGAGCCUUAUAAUCCCUAAACUGUAUCCACCUAAAAACUGUAUGUUUUCAUGAGCGUACCAGUUCUAUUAUGUUAACGUUUUUAGAAAUGCUAAUAGUAUCUCUUAAACUUGCCAAGUUCUAGUCCUCAAUAUGUGGAGUCACCUUUAAUUUUAAAUAUAGAUUUUUACUAUUGACAGUACCUGUAAUUUAAGGCCUAUAAUGUGAGCUGGCACUAUUUUCUUUUCU